rnacentral:rRNA from 1 species
AACCUCCGCAAUGUGAGAAAUCGCGACGGGGGGAUCCCAAGUGCCAUUCUUAACGGGAUGGCUUUUCAUUAGUGUAAAGAGCUUUUUGGAAUAAGGGCUGGGCAAGACCGGUGCCAGCCGCCGCGGUAACACCGGCAGCUCUAGUGGUAGCAGUUUUUAUUGGGCCUAAAGCGUCCGUAGCCGGUUUAAUAAGUCUCUGGUGAAAUCCUGUAGCUUAACUGUGGGAAUUGCUGGAGAUACUAUUAGACUUGAGACCGGGAGAGGUUAGAGGUACUCCCAGGGUAGAGGUGAAAUUCUGUAAUCCUGGGAGGACCGCCUGUUGCGAAGGCGUCUAACUGGAACGGUUCUGACGGUGAGGGACGAAAGUUAGGGGCGCGAACCGGAUUAGAUACCCGGGUAGUCCUAACCGUAAACGAUGCGGACUUGGUGUUGGGGUGGCUUUGAGCUGCUCCAGUGCCGAAGGGAAGCUGUUAAGUCCGCCGCCUGGGAAGUACGGUCGCAAGACUGAAACUUAAAGGAAUU